GUUUUAAUAAUUUAUAAUAAAAUAUUGGUCUUGUAAAUCAAAAAUAGAUUUUUCUUUAAAACU
rnacentral:tRNA from 1 species